CUGGUGUGUUAACAUCAGGGAAGUGACCUCUCACUAAUCACAGGAAACACAAAUAAUCUUAAAGAGUCAUCAGCGCAUCAGAUGCCUCGCCAUCAAGAUUAAGAACAAGAAAGAAAUGAGACAGAGAACCACAAUGAUUGAAUUCAUAUGGAUUCAAAUGUUUGCAUUGCUGCUGAUUCAGAUUACAGCAACAACAUCAAAUGUAACCUCCAUCGUUAUGAAACUCGGAGAUGACGUCACUCUGCUUUGUCUGAAUGCGAUGGAUGACCAGAAUACCUGUAACAAUACAAUGUGGGCCUUCGCUUCAAGAAACAAACCAACAGUAGAGCUGUUCAGGUUUGGGGAAAUUGGUGAAUAUGCCAAAUCUAAAUCAGACAGACUGAGUGUUGCAGUAAACUGUUCUCUGGUUGUUAAGAAGCUCACAGCUGAGGAUGUUGGUCUUUAUUUUUGUCAGCAAUACAUGUUGGGAAAAAAACAAGCGCAACACUCUCCACUUCAUCAGUUGGUGGUUGAUCUCUCUCUUAUUACUUUGAAUGAACAUAAGGACAAUAGUAAGGCGAUUUUAAACUGCUCUGUGCUGCCAUAUGAAGAGUGUCAUCACACAGUGAAGUGGCUGAUUGACGGUCAAGACAUGGACAAAGAUAACAAAGAAAUAUUGACUUUGCAGACUAACUGCUCAACCACUGUGUCUUUCCCCAAAUCCCAUGAAUUAUACUCAUUAAAAUAUAACUCAGUGAAAUGUGAAGUGACUGAUACUGGCACAGGAAAAGUGGAGCAGUUUACCUUCAUCAGCCAACAGCGCUCUGGCCAAGACACGGAUGACAAGGAAACAACAAAUAAACCAACCAGCAGAACUGAAAUUAGCACUAAACUAGAAGUAACCAUGGCAACAAUGAAGGAAGUUUCUCAAGUUGGGAAAAACAAAACAAAGAAUCCAGCCAGAGAAACUGAAAGCAGCGCAACAUCAGCAACAACCACAACAGUUGUGAAGGAUAUUUCGCAAGAUUUUUCUGUUUCUUUGAGGUUCAUUAUUCUCUCUGUGGGUUUAGCAGCACUUUUAAUAACUGCUGUAACAGUCAAAAUAUGGACGGAAGCUAAAGGGAACAAAACUCAGAUGGAUAAAACCACAGUACAUUUUGAUAACAAAGAAGAUCAUGUUACAAUAAAGUCUGAAAACACUGGAGACUCUGCAACUUCCAUCUGA
rnacentral:lncRNA from 1 species